UGGGGAAUAUUGGACAAUGGGCGCAAGCCUGAUCCAGCAAUGCCGCGUGAGUGAUGAAGGCCUUAGGGUUGUAAAGCUCUUUCGGCGGGGACGAUGAUGACGGUACCCGCAGAAGAAGCCCCGGCUAACUUCGUGCCAGCAGCCGCGGUAAUACGAAGGGGGCAAGCGUUGUUCGGAAUUACUGGGCGUAAAGGGCGCGCAGGCGGCCUGACAAGUCAGAUGUGAAAGCCCCGGGCUCAACCUGGGAAUAGCAUUUGGGACUGUUGGGCUAGAGAUCGGGAGAGGAGAGUGGAAUUCCCAGUGUAGAGGUGAAAUUCGUAGAUAUUGGGAAGAACACCGGUGGCGAAGGCGGCUCUCUGGACCGAUACUGACGCUGAGGCGCGAAAGCGUGGGGAGCAAACAG
rnacentral:rRNA from 1 species